rnacentral:rRNA from 1 species
UACGUAGGGGCCAAGCGUUGUCCGGAUUUAUUGGGCGUAAAGAGCUCGUAGGCGGUUGGGUAAGUCGGGUGUGAAAACUCCAGGCUCAACUUGGAGAUGCCACCCGAUACUGCUCUGACUUGAGUUCGGUAGGGGAGUGGGGAAUUCCUGGUGUAGCGGUGAAAUGCGCAGAUAUCAGGAGGAACACCGGUGGCGAAGGCGCCACUCUGGGCCGAAACUGACGCUGAGGAGCGAAAGCAUGGGUAGCAAACAGG